rnacentral:rRNA from 1 species
UACAUAGACCUCAAGCGUUAUCCGGAUUUACUGGGCGUAAAGCGUUCGUAGGCGUCCUUUUAAGUCCUCGGUGAAAUCUCUCCGCCCAACGGAGAAACUGUCGAGGAAACUGGAAGGAUAGAGUGUGGCAGAGGCAGACGGAAUUCGAGGUGUAGCGGUAAAAAUGCGUAGAUAUCUCGAAGAACACCAGUGGCGAAGGCGGUCUGCUGGGCCAUUUCUGACGCUGAGGAACGAAAGCGUGGGUAGCGAACGGG